rnacentral:rRNA from 1 species
GGCGGUCUUUGGCCGUCCGAGUUGUAGUCUGGAGAAGUGCUUUCCGUGCUGGACCGUGUACAAGUCUCUUGGAACAGAGCGUCAUAGAGGGUGAGAAUCCCGUCUUUGACCCGGACCAACAAUGCUUUGUGAUGCGCUCUCAAAGAGUCGAGUUGUUUGGGAAUGCAGCUCAAAAUGGGUGGUGAAUUCCAUCUAAAGCUAAAUAUUGGCGAGAGACCGAUAGCGAACAAGUACCGUGAGGGAAAGAUGAAAAGCACUUUGGAAAGAGAGUUAAACAGUACGUGAAAUUGCUGAAAGGGAAACGCUUGAAGUCAGUCGCGUCGUCCAGGACUCAGCCUUGCUUAUGGCUUGGUGCACUUUCUGGAUGACGGGCCAGAAUCGAUUCUGACCGUGGGAAAAGGGCUGGGGUAAUGUGGC